rnacentral:rRNA from 1 species
GACGAACGCUGGCGGCGUGCCUAAUACAUGCAAGUCGAACGCUGAAGGAGGAGCUUGCUCUUCUGGAUGAGUUGCGAACGGGUGAGUGACGCGUAGGUAACCUGCCUGGUAGCGGGGGAUAACUAUUGGAAACGAUAGCUAAUACCGCAUAACAGUAGAUGUUGCAUGACAUUUACUUAAAAGGUGCAAUUGCAUCACUACCAGAUGGACCUGCGUUGUAUUAGCUAGUUGGUGGGGUAACGGCUCACCAAGGCGACGAUACAUAGCCGACCUGAGAGGGGGAUCAGCCGCACUGGGAGUGAGACACGGCACAGACUCCUACGGGAGGCAGCAGGAGGGAAACGUGAGCAAGGGACGGAAGUCUGACCGAGCAACGCCGCGGGAGUGAGGAAGGUUUUCGGGUCGGAAAGCUCUGUUGUAAGGGAAGAACGAGUGUGAGAGUGGAAAGUUCAGACUGUGACGGUAUCUGAUCAGAAAGGGACGGCUAACUACGUG